CUUGGUUGGAUUUGGUGGCGUUUGUUUGAUUUUCACUCCUCCCACCCCUGCAGCACCUGAGGCCAAUUGAAGUCUCCUCCCACCCCAGCUGUGGCCACUUUGCCCUCCCUGCUCAGUGCCCUUUAUAAGCAGAGCAGGAGGAGCCCAGCCCCAAGCUGGGCCCAUUGCGGGCCAAGGGAUCCUCCGCCUGGCAUCCCAGGAGGUUGGAUCCUCGAAGGCUUUGCUCUGGGUUCUGCGAUGGAGGCAAAGAUGGAGCAGGAGCACCAACUGGAGCUGGUAACGGACCAGGAUCCUCCAAAGUUUUGCUCUGGGUUCUGCGAUGGAUGUGAACGUGGAGCAGGAGCAGGAACUGGAGCUGGUAAUGGAACUGGCAACGCAGCAGAAGCGGGCUGGCUGGAGGAGAGCCUAUGUUGGAGCUGCGUUAAGCUGCCCGGGGGCAGGCAGCGCUGCCAGGACCCUGCCGGACACCCGCACAGGCUGUGCCCCGCCCCAGCAGGAGCUUUUAUUGUCCUGCUGCAAGGAGGCUCUGGGUGCAGCUCAGAGCUGCCUUGCACCGUCUGAAGGGGCUCUCCAGGAAGGAGUCCCUCAGCCUGCUCUCAGCUCUCCUUCAGCUGUUGAAACGCAGCUCUAAGGUCUCCCUGGAGCCUUCUCCUCUCCAGGCUGAGCAGCCACAGCUCUCUCAGGCUGCCUUCACAGCAGAGCUUCUCCCAUCCUCUGCUCAUGUUUGUGGCUUGCUCUGGAACCCCUCCAGCAGCUCCCUGUCUCCCUCGUGUUGGGGGUGCCCCAGAGCUGGCCACAGCAGUCCAGGCUGAGGUCUCCCCAAAGCAGAGGGGCAGAUGGUUCACAAGCACAGACACAACAGGCUGCCCAACGACCUUCCCACACUGCAGCUGCAGGUUUCAGUCAGAUCCUUUCAGUAUCAAAGCUGAGAGUUGAGGGCUAAGGCACCAGCAGCACUGUCCUUCGAGCCAGAGAAACAAACACCAAAUGAAAUGAGAUUUCUCUUAACUGCAGUUCAAUUGCCCAAGCCAAGCACUAGAACAACAACCAUGCAGAUGAAUUGGAUGACUUGAAAAGCCUUAACAGCUUUAUGAGGCUACUCCAACACAGUGACCAGUUACAAACUGCUUCCCUGUGGAAGCAUUUUCGCUUCCAAUGUUCUCCAAGCACCUGAUUUUUCACACAGACCCUUUCCUCUGUGGCCCCAAAGGUAUUCAUUAAUUAAAGGAAGAUCUUUGCUUUUCAGGAAGAACAAUAAGAGAGAUUCAUUGGUCUAAAAAAUCCUUGCAGCUUUCCUCUUGGAUUGUUGAAAUGAGCUGUAAUGAAUGCCAAGUUUCUGGCCAGGUGAGCUGGGUUCAAGGCAAGUGUUGAUGAACACAAACAAAUGACAAAGCUGUUCCCAAAAUGUGCCUCAGCUGAAAGCACAAAGUGAUGCCUACGUCUGUUUGUUCCCUCCUUACCUGCUGGUCGUGACCCUAACUACAGACCCUCUGCCUGCACUGCCUAACAGGCUCAGCAGCGUCAGAGCAGAGAGGCAGCCACAGGCUUUCAAUGCACACCAAUGGCUUGGGCUGCAGCUCUGUUGAGCCCUGGGUUUAAUCCUCCCUUCCUGGCCUUUUCCACCUGUGAAAA